rnacentral:rRNA from 1 species
CUGCUGCCUUCCGUAGGAGUCUGGUCCGUGUCUCAGUACCAGUGUGGGGGGCCUUCCUCUCAGAACCCCUACGCAUCGUCGCCUCGGUGGGCCGUUACCCCGCCGACUAGCUAAUGCGCCGCAUGCCCAUCCGUGGCCGGGAUUGCUCCCUUUGGCGGCCUUGGGAUGUCCCUAGGCCGCGUUACGCGGUAUUAGACGGGGUUUCCCCGCUUAUCCCCCUGCCACGGGCAGGUUCGCAUACGUGUUACUCACCCGUGCGCCGGUCGCCGGCAACGG